CACGUAGGGCGCAAGCGUUGUCCGGAAUUAUUGGGCGUAAAGAGCUCGUAGGCGGUCUGUCGCGUCGAAUGUGAAACCCGGGGCUCAACUCCGGGCUUGCAUUCGAUACGGGCAGACUAGAGUUCGGUAGGGGAGACGUGGAAUUCCUGGUGUAGCGGUGAAAUGCGCAGAUAUCAGGAGGAACACCGGUGGCGAAGGCGGGUCUCUGGGCCGAUACUGACGCUGAGGAGCGAAGCGUGGGGAGCAAACAGG
rnacentral:rRNA from 1 species